UACGUAGGGGGCAAGCGUUGUUCGGAAUUACUGGGCGUAAAGGGCGCGUAGGCGGCAUGGCAAGUCAGGAGUGAAAGGCCUGGGCUCAACCGAGGAACUGCUUUUGAUACUGCCAAGCUAGAGUGCGGAAGGGGCAACUGGAAUUCCCAGUGUAGCGGUGAAAUGCGUAGAUAUUGGGAAGAACACCUGAGGCGAAGGCGGCAUCCUGGACCAAUUCUGACGCUGAGGAGCGAAAGCCAGGGGAGCAAACGGG
rnacentral:rRNA from 1 species